AUUGAACGCUGGCGGCAUGCCUUACACAUGCAAGUCGAACGGCAGCACGGGAGCAAUCCUGGUGGCGAGUGGCGAACGGGUGAGUAAUAUAUCGGAACGUGCCCGGUCGUGGGGGAUAACGUAGCGAAAGCUACGCUAAUACCGCAUACGAUCUACGGAUGAAAGCGGGGGAUCGCAAGACCUCGCGCGAUUGGAGCGGCCGAUAUCAGACUAGGUAGUUGGUGAGGUAAAGGCUCACCAAGCCGACGAUCUGUAGCUGGUCUGAGAGGACGACCAGCCACACUGGGACUGAGACACGGCCCAGACUCCUACGGGAGGCAGCAGUGGGGAAUUUUGGACAAUGGGCGCAAGCCUGAUCCAGCAAUGCCGCCGUG
rnacentral:rRNA from 1 species